GAGUUUGAUCAUGGCUCAGAUUGAACGCUGGCGGCAUGCCUUACACAUGCAAGUCGAACGGCAGCAUGAUCUAGCUUGCUAGAUUGAUGGCGAGUGGCGAACGGGUGAGUAAUACAUCGGAACGUGCCCUGUAGUGGGGGAUAACUAGUCGAAAGAUUAGCUAAUACCGCAUACGACCUGAGGGUGAAAGUGGGGGACCGCAAGGCCUCAUGCUAUAGGAGCGGCCGAUGUCUGAUUAACUAGUUGGUGGGGUAAAGGCCCACCAAGGCGACGAUCAGUAGCUGGUCUGAGAGGACGAUCAGCCACACUGGGACUGAGACACGGCCCAGACUCCUACGGGAGGCAGCAGUGGGGAAUUUUGGACAAUGGGCGAAAGCCUGAUCCAGCAAUGCCGCGUGUGUGAAGAAGGCCUCGGUUGUAAG
rnacentral:rRNA from 1 species